UUCUUCUUAGUUCUUUCCGUGCAAUGCUAGAGCGUCUCUUCGGAGACAUCCGAUAAAAUUGGAACGAUACAGAGAAGAUUAGCAUGGCCCCUGCGCAAGGAUGACACGCAUAAAUCGAGAAAUGGUCCAAAAUUUUUUGCCGAUCUCAGAUUCAAACCCUAGAUCUUAAUCAGAGUUCUUCGGCCAGCGAUUUGAGGACAGAUUUUUGACACACAGAAGAAAAAAAGCUAUUUUCCUUAGGCUGUUUUCUUUCUUCUUCCUAGCCCCCUGUUGUGUGCUCUUAUAAAGAAACAGGAAGGAGAAGAAGAAUGCUGAUCAGAUAAGUGGAAAAAUGAUAUUUCAUUCAUAACUAAAUGUUCCUGUUACAAGCUUUAUUUAUAAGUCUGUAUAACAGCAUACUUGUAAUAUUACAGAAGGAAAGAAUAUCAUUAUACAACCAUUGAUUGGUUAAUAUAAAAGCAACAUAUUGAACUAAACCUAAAUAUCUGAAUGCGGGAGAGGCGGAGCGAGGGCAUGGACACGAGCCAGAGAAGAAGCAGAGGAGAAGGUCAUUCAUGAUAGGAGCAAUCUCUGUAUCAUUGGAGCAGAUAAGUUCCUUCCAAUAUCCCCUGUCAAGCUAAGCAUAUGAUGAGAUGAUGGUUAGCUUGUUGGUAAGCUCACGAUGUCUGGUAUAUGUCUGCGGGUUGAUCCUGGGACAUAAUAUGCUGGAGGAGAAUGUGUUUAUGCUUGAUAUGAUCUAGUAUGAAGUGAUAAUCCACUUUGAUGUGCUUAGUUCGAGCAUGAAAUACUGGAUUAUGUGCAAGAGCGUAGCUGAAGUGCUUUCACUGUAUAAUUUGACGGGAUGAGAAGAAUACCCUGUAAGUUUUUCAAGUAGACGUCGUAGCCAUAAGAUUUUUGUAGUAGUUGUUGUAUGGGCUCUGUACCCGGCCUUUGUGGAGGAUCGAGCAACGGUGUUCUGCUUCUUAGAAGACCAAGAGAUUAGAUUAAAUCCUAGAUAAAUGCAAUAACCUGUUGUUGAUUUUCUGUCGUUGAUGUCGUUGGCCCAAUCAGCAUCAGUGUAUGCAUGUAAAUACAGUGGUCCGGGAAUGAAGGGUAACCCAUAGUUUAAUGUUUAUUUGAGGUAGCGAAGAAGCCUUUGGAACAAAUUGUAGUGGCGUGUGUUCGGUUUGUGCAUGUGUUGACUUAAUGAGUUUACAGUAAACAUGAUGUCUGGUCUUUUCAUAGUGAGGUAUUGUAAUAUACCAAUUAAUUGUCUGUAAUAUUGAGGAUUGUUAAUGGGUGAUAUGUUGGUGAUAUUUUUCAAAGGUUCAAGAGGUGAAGGGGUUAAUACA